rnacentral:rRNA from 1 species
CAGUUCAGAUUGCAGGCUGCAACCCGCCUGCAUGAAGUCGGAAUUGCUAGUAAUCGCGGAUCAGCAUGCCGCGGUGAAUACGUUCCCGGGCCUUGUACACACCGCCCGUCACACCAUGGGAGCCGGUAAUACCCGAAGUCAGUAGUCCAACCUCGUGAGGACGCUGCCGAAGGUAGGAUUGGCGACUGGGGUGAAGUCGUAACAAGGUAGC